AUUGAACGCUGGCGGCAGGCCUAACACAUGCAAGUCGAACGAGUGGCGGACGGGUGAGUAAUGUCUGGGAAACUGCCUGAUGGAGGGGGAUAACUACUGGAAACGGUAGCUAAUACCGCAUACCAUCAGAUGUGCCCAGAUGGGAUUAGCUAGUUGGUGGGGUAACGGCUCACCAAGGCGACGAUCCCUAGCUGGUCUGAGAGGAUGACCAGCGAGACGGGAAAGGAGACACGGUCCAGACGCCUACGGGAGUGAGCAGUGGGGAAUAGUGCACAAUGGGCGAAAGCCGGAUGCAGCCAGGCCGCGUGUAUGAAUAAGGCCUGCGGGUUGUAAAGUACUGUCAGCGGGGAGGCGUUACCCGCAGAAGAAGCACCGGCUAACUCCGUGCCAGCAGCCGCGGUAAUUC
rnacentral:rRNA from 1 species